GCGGUGGAUGGUGUGGUUUAAUUCGAUCGCAACGCGAAAACCUUACCCACCUUUGACAUGUACGGAACCCUUUAGAGAUAGAGGGGUGCUCGAAAGAGAGCCGUAACACAGGUGCUGCAUGGCUGUCGUCAGCUCGUGUCGUGAGAUGUUGGGUUAAGUCCCGCAACGAGCGCAACCCUUGUCAUUAGUUGCUACAUUCAGUUGGGCACUCUAAUGAGACUGCCGGUGACAAGCCGGAGGAAGGUGGGGAUGACGUCAAGUCCUCAUGGCCCUUAUAGGUGGGGCUACACACGUCAUACAAUGGCUGGUACAAAGGAUUGCCAACCCGCGAGGGGGAGCCAAUCCCAUAAAGCCAGUCGUAGUCCGGAUCGUAGUCUGCAACUCGACUACGUGAAGUCGGAAUCGCUAGUAAUCGUGGAUCAGAAUGUCACGGUGAAUACGUUCCCGGGUCUU
rnacentral:rRNA from 1 species